rnacentral:tRNA from 1 species
GCCUGGAUGGCUCAGUUAGUUGAGUGUCCGACUUAAGCUCGGUUCAUGAUCUCACAGUUUGUGAGUUCAAGCCCCACAUCAGGCU